rnacentral:rRNA from 1 species
CCGGAUGCUUGAUUGAACCGCAUGGUUCCAAUCAUAAAAGGUGGCUUURAGCUACCACUUYCAGAUGGACCCGCGGCGCAUUAGCUAGUUGGUGAGGUAACGGCUCACCAAGGCGACGAUGCGUAGCCGACCUGAGAGGGUGAUCGGCCACACUGGGACUGAGACACGGCCCAGACUCCUACGGGAGGCAGCAGUAGUUACAUGCAAGUCGAGCGGACCGACGGGAGCUUGCUCCCUUAGGUCAGCGGCGGACGGGUGAGUAACACGUGGGUAACCUGCCUGUAAGACUGGGAUAACUCCGGGAAACCGGGGCUAAU